CAUCAUACACAUGUGUUAUCAACAUCCUAUUUAUAAUACUUAUCAUACGCACCGAGACCGAGUUUGGAAAAAAGAACUCGUAGUUGACGACCAAGACUACCUUCCACAUGAUUGGUCGCCAUCAUCGCUCUUCUAAAAAAAACCUGCACCGAUUUCAUGACUAGUCCAUUUCUCAAGAAAAAGAUUUGGCUAAAUACGAUUGUUUGGCCGGACCCUGGCAGCAUACCAUGUGACAGAGUGAGCUUUGGUACACGUUAGGAACGUUCCUGCCACCGAGCGAUGGAGUCACAUCCUACG
rnacentral:lncRNA from 1 species